rnacentral:lncRNA from 1 species
AAAUUACUUAGAGACUAAUUGAAAACAAAUGUUAUAAAUAGUUUUAAGUAAACAUUAAAACAAUUUAACCAAUUAAACACCAUAACUAAAAUUUAAUUAAUUUUUGAUCAUUCUGCUCUUCACCUUAUAUAUAAUUUUCAAUAACAAAAAAAUGGAUACAAAAUUUUUUGAAUAGCGUAAGACAAAAAGAUUGAAUAAUUUAAAAUUAUUUUAUAUUUGUCGAUAGCUACUUAUAUGUUUAUGAUAGAUUAUAAAAUUUA